rnacentral:rRNA from 1 species
GAUAAACGCUAGCGGCAGGCUUAACACAUGCAAGUCGAGGGGCAGCAUAGAUUGUAGCAAUAUAAUUGGUGGCGACCGGCGCACGGGUGCGUAACGCAUAUGCAACCUACCCGUCACAGGGGGAUAAUCCGGAGAAAUCUGGUCUGAUACCCCAUAACAUAUGGAUCGGCAUCGGUUCAUGUUGAAAUUUUCGGAGGUGACGGAUGGGCAUGCGUAGCAUUAGCUUGGUGGUGAGGUAACGGCUCACCAAGGCGACGAUGCUUAGGGGGACUGAGAGGUUUUCCCCCCACACUGGUACUGAGACACGGACCGGACUCCUACGAGAGGCAGCAGUGAGGAAUAUUGGUCAAUGGGCGCAAGCCUGAACCAGCCAUGCCGCGUGCAGGAUGACGGCUCUAUGAGUUGUAAACUGCUUUUGUACGAGGGUAAAGUGGGUUACGUGUAACCUUUUGAAAGUAUCGUACGAAUAAGGAUCGGCUAACUCCGUGCCAGCCGCCGCGGUAA